rnacentral:rRNA from 1 species
AUUGAACGCUGGCGGCAGGCCUAACACAUGCAAGUCGAACGAGUGGCGGACGGGUGAGUAAUGUCUGGAAAACUGCCCGAUUGAGGGGGAUAACUACUGGAAACGGUAGCUAAUACCGCAUCCCAUCGGAUUUUCCCAGAUGGGAUUAGCUAGUAGGUGGGGUAAAGGCUCACCUAGUCGACGAUCCCUAGCUGGUCUGAGAGGAUGCCCAGCCACACUGGAACGGAGACACGGCCCAGACUCCUACGGGAGGCAGCAGUGGGGAAGAUUGCACAAUGGGCGCAAGCCUGAUGCAGCCAUGCCGCGUGAAUGAAGAAGGCCUUCGGGUUGUAAAGUACUUUCGGCGAGGAAGCGUUACUCGAAGAAAAAGCACCGGCUAACUACGUGCCAGCAGCCGCGGUAAUUC